GACAGAGGUGCCAAGCGUUAGGCGGAAUCACUGGGCUUAAAGCGUGUGUAGGCGGAUCGUUAAGUACCUUGUGAAAUCCCACGGCUCAACCGUGGAACUGCUUGGUAUACUGGCGAUCUUGAGCCACCUAGGGGCAACUGGAACAAGCGGUGGAGCGGUGAAAUGCGUAGAUAUCGCUUGGAACGCCAACGGUGAAAACAGGUUGCUGGGGGUGUGCUGACGCUGAGGCACGAAAGCCAGGGGAGCGAACGGG
rnacentral:rRNA from 1 species